GGAGGAUGCGAGCGUUAUCCGGAUUUAUUGGGUUUAAAGGGUGCGUAGGUGGUGAUUUAAGUCAGCGGUGAAAGUUUGCGGCUCAACCGUAAAAUUGCAGUUGAUACUGGAUGUCUUGAGUGCAGUUGAGGCAGGCGGAAUUCGUGGUGUAGCGGUGAAAUGCUUAGAUAUCACGAAGAACUCCGAUUGCGAAGGCAGCCUGCUAAGCUGCAACUGACAUUGAGGCUCGAAAGUGUGGGUAUCAAACAGGAUUAGAUACCCUGGUAGUCCACACGGUAAACGAUGAAUACUCGCUGUUUGCGAUAUACGGCAAGCGGCCAAGCGAAAGCGUUAAGUAUUCCACCUGGGGAGU
rnacentral:rRNA from 1 species